GGCUUCACAGCUGUUUACAUAUUAAAGUGCCAUGUUUGCAUUUACUACUACUGUUCCAGCAACUCAGUGAGUAAGAUUUACACGGCGGGGGGAGGACCAGAAGAAUCCUUGGUAUCAGAGAGAACGGCCCGAGAGGUCUUAAACUUCCAGUGUGGAUGGCUAGUCCUCACUUCUUUAUCCAGGCAACACACAGCACGGAUGGACAGAAAACCAAACACCUUUGCCAAGAACAAUUACUGAGGGUGUGAAACGAUGAAGACAUAGAGAAUACUGCUGCAUAGAAAUGUUCACAGUUCUUCAAUUUCCAAAAGGAAUUCAGAGGGAGAACUUGGAUUAAUGUAAAUAAUGUGAUUUUUUUGAAAUACAAAUGAAUAUUGAUUGAGAGGGUUGAAAUGGGACAAGAGAGUGAAGACCAGCCAAACCCAAACACCUACAGAGAGCACACAGAUAUGAAUGUUAGGGGCCCUUUCUGAGGUCUCUCUCUUUGGAGUGUAGAUACAGCUGAUACAUAACCAUCAGGAGCUCAGGUGGGAUCCACAGUCAUAGGACACCCAAGAGGAAAGAGCAAAAUCAAACAUAAAGGCUCCCAUCUUAUGAACAAGAGGCUUUUGCAACCUUCACUAAUUUGUAGGGAGAAAUACAAAUGCAAUCUAAACAUGAUUAAAUAUCCAAGGUGAUCACCAAAUUGAAAAUGAAUUAUCAAAAGUUCAGAUACCUUUGUCUUGCUACCCAGUCCACCCUUGUUUAUUUUUAAACCUUGCAAAGCUGAGUUCUUUGCCUGUGCUCCAAGGUCUCAAGCCUUUCUCAGGUCCGCGGAGAGGCUGUGCAGCAAGGAUAAACAAAACAGUCCACAGCACAGAAGAUAUCCUGGGAGCACCACGAGGCUUGAGAGUGAAAGGUAUCGGGAAAGGAGUUUUCUCUUUCGGUUAACAGCUGCUUAAGCUGCUAUCUGGGGAAUGCUUUUACAGAAAAACCCAGGUCAACCUAUACCAGGUCAACUCCCUGCCUUGGAGAAUGAACAUACGGGAUCCCAUUCAGCACAAAAUGCAACACUCUUCACACAGAAAUCAAUCAAUAUAUGCUGUUGGCUGGUGCCCGAGUUUACUUAAUGUCUCCCCUUUUAUGUGGCUCAAACUGCUUUGACAGGACAGAUUCACUGAGAUUUUGAGCAACCCACUGUUGAAGAGAAAGCAGCUUCUCCUUCCUCAUGACUACGCAAAUGUGACAAAGGGUGGAGAGAGUAGAUAUAUCUAUUUGGCUCUUGUCCCUUGUCUAUACUGGCGAAGCCAUAAUACCUGCUUAGAAUGUACUUUCCUUUGUAGUAAAUGAAGCAUUUGAAACUAGGUAGGUACUUCCAAGGUGAAGGUUUCUUUCAUUUUAAAAAUAAGUUUUGAGAGCAAAUGGCAAUCUUGCUUCAAACAACAACAACAACAACAACAACAACAAUCCCUCUGCAGUGUUAUCACAGCACCUUAAUCAUUGUCAUUAAGCUCUACCUGCAUGAUGUUGAACAUUUUUACAACCACGAUUGCCUUGGACACAAACACUAAGCACAGGAGACCGCUGCUAUUGUCUCCAUUUUCUGUGAGGAAAUGUGCAGGGAGAGGCUAAGCAAGUUUCUAAGAUUAUACAGCUGUGAGUGGUAGCUAUGUCCUAUUCACUGGCACGGCAAAUUCCUAAAAUUAUUCUCCCUUCUUCUAAUAUCCUCCAGUCUCACCUUCUCCCAGCCAACACAAGCAUGCACUUACAUGCUGCAAAGUCUGGCUUAUUGGAAGACUGGAACAUGGCAUACAUUAUGCUGCAUAAAAUCUGAGCUCUCGCAGCCGGGCGUGGUGGCUCACGCCUUUAAUCCCAGCACUCAGGAGGCAGAGGCAGGCAGAUUUCUGAGUUCGAGGCCAGCCUGGUCUACAAAGUGAGGUCCAGGACAGCCAGGGCUAUACAGAGAAACUCUGUCUCGAAAAAAAUCUGAGCUCUCAUAUAUAGCUGAUGAGCUAUGGAUAGUUGUUGGCUGGUUAGGGAGGAAAAGCCAGUUUCCUUUAAAUGUGCGGUCCCUGGAUCUCCCAAGAAAGGUGAAAUAGAUUAUAGUUCUAUGGAGAGAUAAAGGGGAAACUAGAAUAAGAAGAUUUAAAGGGAGAUGGGAGAGCAGGGUAAAAGCAGGACUUUGGGAGGGACAAGUAGCACUAAGGAUCCUUUGAAAAUUGUAAGGAAACUUACUGCUGUAGAAGUUUCCUAAAACAUACACCCGUGAAUAGAACAUAAAAGCAGUUACCUGAAUUUUUGAUCUUAGCCAUUCUGACUGGUGUGAGGUGGAAUCUCAGGGUUGUUUUGAUUUGCA
rnacentral:lncRNA from 1 species